GGGGAUUUGGCUCAGUGGUAGAGCGCUUGUCUAGCAAGUGCAAGGCCCUGGGUUCGGUCCCCAGCUCCG
rnacentral:tRNA from 1 species